rnacentral:rRNA from 1 species
GUUGAACGCUGGCGGCGUGCCUAAUACAUGCAAGUCGAGCGAAGCGGGGACGGGUGAGAAACACGUGGGUAACCUCCUAUAAGACUGGGAUAACUUCGUGGAACCGGAGCUAAUCCGGAUACUUAUAGAUGGUUCCGCGCUGCAUUAGCUAGUUGGUAAGGUAACGGCUUACCAGGGCAACGAUGCAUAGCCGACCUGAGCGGGUGAUCAGCCACACGGGAACUGAGACACGGGCCAGACUCCUACGGGAGGCAGCAGUAGGGAAUCUUCCGCAAUGGGCGAAAGCCUGACGGAGCAACGCCGCGUGUGUGAUGAAGGUCUUCGGAUCGUAAAGCUCUUUUAUUAGGGAAGCGGUACCUGAUCAGAAAGCCACGGCUAACUACGUGCCAGCAGCCGCGGUAAUUC